AAGCAAAGAAGAAAAAGGCGGGCCAUCUUCCCGGAAAAGAGAUAAAAAGACUUAGAUAUUGUGGAAUAUAAUUCAAUUACUCAAUUAGCUGAUGUUUUAGUUUAGCCUUCCUUGUUUAUGCGAAGUACCUCUCAUCACUGCAUCAGUUAAUGGCUUCCUCUUCUUCUUCUUCCAUUACUCCUGAACUAGAGCAUGAGGUUUUCCUUAGUUUCUGCGGUGAGGACACCCGACAAAACUUUACCAGCCAUCUAGAUGAAGCCUUUCGUCGGAAAAAUAUUAAAACUUUCAUUGAUGAUAAGCUUAAUAGAGGAGAAGAAAUUUCUCCCUCUCUUUUGAAGGCAAUUGAACAUUCAAAGAUCUCGGUUAUCAUUUUCUCUAAAGACUACGCUUCCUCCAGAUGGUGUCUCAAAGAACUUGAAGAGAUUCUUAAAUGUAAGAAAGCGUAUGAUCAGAUCGCAAUGCCAAUCUUCCAUGACGUAGAUCCAUCUGAUGUCAGGAAUCAAACUGGGGAUUUUGAGAAAGCAUUUGCUGAGCUUGAAAAGCAUGUUAUGGUUGAUUCAGAGAUGUUGACGAGAUGGAGGACUGCAUUGAGGGAUGCAGCCAACCUAUCUGGUUAUGAUUCAAAGAACUAUAGGAAUGAGGCAGAGCUGGUAAAGGCUAUUGUUAAUGAUGUAUGGAAGAAAUUGAAUUACAACUCCCCAAUUAUUUCUUCUAAGAAACUGAUUGGACUAGAGUCAUCAAUCGAAGAGAUUGAAAAUUUAUUAUGUUCAAAGAGCAUUUGGAAGCUAGGAAUUUGGGGCAUGGGGGGCAUAGGAAAAACUACUCUUGCAGGUACUAUAUUUAACAAAAUCUCUAAACAGUUUAAAGAAUCUUACUUCAUUGAGAAAAUUGGAGAAAAAUCAGAGAAAAGUGGGGGAUUAGAUUAUUUGUGCCAAAAACUAAGAUCUGCAGUUCUAGGAGAUGAACAUCCCAAUCAUGAAUUCACCUUCACAAGAAGAAGUCUUAUUAGCAGAAAAAAAGUUCUCAUUGUGUUUGAUGAUGUAACGAAUUUAAAUCAAAUGCAAUGUUUAAUGGCAGUUUUUGAUGGCUUGGAUUCAUACAGUCGAAUCAUUAUAACAACAAGAGAUGAACAUGUGCUAAUAAAUUGUAAGGUGGAUUACAUUCAUGAGAUGACAAAGUUAUCUCCUGAUAAUGCUUUUCAACUUUUUGCCCUACAUGCUUUUAAAGGAAACUCUCAAACAGAAGAUUACAUCCACCUAUCAUCUAAAGUAGUAGGUUAUGCUGAAGGUCUUCCACUAGCUCUUGAAGUAUUAGGUUCCUUUCUAUUUAAGAGAACGAAGAGAGAAUGGGAAAGUGCACUAGAAAACUUGAGAACAAGUCUUGAUGCGAAUGUUCGAAAGGUAUUAAAAAUAAGUUUCGAAGGAUUAGAUGACAAACAAAAGUGUGUAUUUUUGGAUAUUGUAUGUUUCUUUAAAGGGUAUAAAAGAGAUUUUGUAGAAGCAAUCUUGAAAGCUCGUAACUUAGACCCUCAUAUUUGUAUAAAUGUUCUCAUUGAAAGGUGUCUCAUAACUACACCAUCUGAUAUCAUAACAAUGCAUGAUUUACUUGAACAAAUGGGUAGAGAAAUUGUUCAACAAGAGUCAAUUGAUAAUCCUGGCGAACGUAGUCGAUUGUGGGAUCAUGAGGAUAUAUUUUCAGUAUUGAAGAAUAAUACGGGAACUAGAGCAAUUCGAAGCAUAUGCUUGGAUAUGUCUAAAGUAGAAGAGUUGCAUUUAAAUCCUGAAGCUUUUAACAAAAUGCCAAACCUACGAUUCUUGAAAUUUUAUGGGUCUGAACGUGGAAAGAAGGUGCUUGAAUCUGAUUCCUCUGCAUUUCGCCGUAUCUUGAGAUGGUUGAAAAGAGAAAACUCCAAUGAUGGAAAGGUGCAUGGUUUUGAGAAACUUAAGUUUGAUUUCUAUGAGAUAAGGCACUUUUGCUUUCAUGGAUAUCCUGCCAAAUCAUUGCCGCCAAAUUUUAAUCCAAAGAACCUUGUUGCACUUUGCAUGCCUAAUAGCAAAGUUAAAAAACUUUGGACUGGUAACCAGGUUCUUGUUAAUUUGAAAUAUAUUGACCUCAGUCACUCUAAGCAUCUAUGUAGAAUACCAGAUUUGUCACUUAUGCCAAAUCUUGAGAGCUUGAAUCUUGAAGAUUGUACAAAUUUGCUUGAGAGUUUCUCAUCUAUCCAUAAUCUCCAUAAACUUGUUAUCUUGAAUCUACGAGGAUGCAGAAGCUUUAAUAAUCUUCCAAUUAGUGAUAGUUGCCAAUCUCUUCGAAAAGUUUAUCUCUCUGGUUGCUCAAAUCUUGAAAAAGUUCCAAAUCUCCCUAAUACAGUUGAAAAGUUAUAUCUAGAUGAAACUGCCAUUAAAGAACUUCCAUCAAUAGGGCAUUUAUUUAGACUAGUAAAAUUAAGUCUUAGAAAAUGUUCAAGGCUUAAGAGAUUACCAAAUAGUAUUUGUGAGUUGAAAUCCCUUAAAUAUCUUUGUCUCUCGGGUUGUUCCAAACUUGAUAGAUUGCCUAAUGACAUGGGAAAUUUACAAACUCUGGAGGAACUGAUACUGGAGGGAAUUUCUUUUGCAGAAAUAGCAACAUUUAUGGCAAGUUUGACCAACCUGAAGACAUUAUCUUUGACAAGAUGUAAGAUGCAAGAGCAAUUGGGUAUCCCACUCGUCGAUUUAUCUGUCUUCCAAAGAAUCGAAGAGCUAUGCCUGAUUGAUUGUUGCAUUGAAGUGUUACCCAACACUAUUGGCGAAUUACUCUCACUAGGAAGUUUAGAUCUUGACCAAAACAAUUUGGAGACGCUACCAGAGAGCAUCAAAGACCUGUCUAACCUGGAAGGGCUUUCUUUAAGUAAUUGCCAGAGGCUUAAAUACUUACCGGAGCUUCCAAGCAGUCUAGUGCAAAUUAUAGCAGUGAAUUGUGUUUCUCUUGAAUCAGUAUCAAAUUUAUUCCUACGUAUGGAUUCUGUUUUUGACAUAAUCGACUUCUCUAAUUGUUCAAACUUAAAAUUAGAGAUGACAAAUGCUCUCUUCUUGAAUAUUGAGAGAAGCGUAGCAGACGAUCACCGUCAAAUGCAGAAUAUCAGUUGUUCUUGGGGAUCGGCGAACAUUUUUUACUCUGGAUGUGAAAUUCCAAAGUGGUUUGACUUAAAAAGUAAUGAAUCUUUUAUAAAGUUCCCAGAAGGUUGGAUUAAUGAUAACUUAUUUGGUUUCGCUUUAUGUGCUGUUAUAUCAUCACAAGACUCUCAAAAACUUAGAAAUUUGAGUGUUGGAUUUCGCCUGAUUAUUAAUGGAGAGAUUAUUUCCAAUGAUGGGUUAAUGGACUCAGUAAAAUUUUGGCCUGGGACUCUUGAAGGUGAGAACAUUAUUGAAUCAGAUCAUAUAUUCAUAGCUUAUAGUUACAUUAAGAUGCCUGGGAAAUUUCCUCCACUCAAUUUGAAUAGCCAGGGUGCUGUUGAGUUCUUCAUUAAACAUGAUCGUAUGGUUCAAAGCCCAGUGAAAAAAUGUGGAGUGACUUUAUUGUAUCACAAAAAUGAUGAUUGGAGAAAAGAUCCAAGAGUGGACAAAAAUGAUGAAAGACCUCAUAAGCGAUUGAAACUUGAAGGUUGAAAUGUUGUUACAGAAAAGGUAAUCAGGUGCUGCUUCCAGAGGAAAUUUACUCCAUUUCUAAGGCCUCUUGUUUGCCUACUCUUCACGAUAUGCCUAAACUUGGAAGUUUUUCCUAUGGUGUUCUUUAUAGAUGAUGUGGCUUACGGCAUGGUAGUUUAAUAGUUUCAAGGUUGGCAACUAGGCGUGUGGACACAAAUUCCCUUGACUGUCAUUUUAAUAUUCUCCAGAUUUCUUGCCUGGAAUAGGAUUAUGUUACUAACUACUAUUUAAUUAGGUGUUAUAUGGUUACAGAUUUGGUUCUCUAGGCUAUGAAAGGGUAUUGGAUGCUCUUCGAUACUGCUGGUUUGUUGAGUCCUCGGUUAACAGCAGGAAACAAAUUGAUGCCGUACAUUUCAUUCAUGCCUUCCAUCUUACUGAAAGCUUUCUCCCUGUUCACUUCUUGAAGACAUACUUAAAGAAUUGAAGGAGUAACUCACAGGGAAAGUGUGUGAGUUCGGGUGGAGAUACUAGUGCACCGGUUAAUUUUCAUACUAAAGCAUAAUGAGAACUUGCUGCUUUGAAAGCUGUAGUUAGUUGUGUCCAAGAGUACAGGCUUGAACCUGACUAUCCUCUCGAUCCACUUCAGAAAAGGAUUGAACAACUGGAGAGGUCGAAAUCUGAUAAGAAAAGGGGUGGAGAUUUUGGUAGACGUCAACACUCCAAGAAACAAAGAGCAAAGUGAGGAUACGGUGGAUUUCUUUCUCACAGUGCCAAGGCAGCUCCCGGUAGGCUUGUUCCGCCUGUUUUCUGAUGUGUCGUGCACUUGUGAGCAAGACACAACAUUUUCUUUGACAGGGCAGCAUAUGGAGGAAUGCCUGAGAGAUAUCCUCUGGCUGGUCCAAACUCUUUACGAUUAUCAAGUUCAUAGCCAGCCUGUUUUUGCUCAGCAACCAAAUGAUCAAAGAAUAUGCUUUUAUCCCCACGAUGUAGUUAUCAAAUGCAAGAUUUGUGUGCAACCUUAGUGAAUGUGCAGAGAAUUUAUUUGUGAGUGAAUCACAUUUUCCCACCCAAGUUUGGCUGUAAAACCCUUCUUCAUCUCUAAUUGACAUCGAUAACAUUUCUUCA